AUUGAACGCUGGCGGCAUGCCUUACACAUGCAAGUCGAACGGCAGCACGGGUGCUUGCCCCUGGUGGCGAGUGGCGAACGGGUGAGUAAUACAUCGGAACAUGUCCUGUAGUGGGGGAUAGCCCGGCGAAAGCCGGAUUAAUACCGCAUACGAUCCACGGAUGAAAGCGGGGGACCUUCGGGCCUCGCGCUAUAGGGGUGGCCGAUGGCUGAUUAGCUAGUUGGUGGGGGAAAGGCCUACCAAGGCGGCGAUCAGUAGCUGGUCUGAGAGGACGACCAGCCACACUGGGACUGAGACACGGCCCAGACUCCUACGGGAGGCAGCAGUGGGGAAUUUUGGACAAUGGGCGAAAGCCUGAUCCAGCAAUGCCGCGUGUGUGAAGAAGGCCUUCGGGUUGUAAAGCACUUUUGUCCGGAAAGAAAUCCUUGACUCUAAUACAGUCGGGGGAUGACGGUACCGGAAGAAUAAGCACCGGCUAACUACGUG
rnacentral:rRNA from 1 species